CACGACCUGAGCCAAAGUCGGAUGUUUAACCGACUGAGCCACCCAGGCGCCCCGAUAUAUUACAUUUUUAAUACACAUAACUUCUCACACUAUUUCUGUCAUAGUGUCAGAAAUUUUAGGCUCAAAUAAAGAACAGACAAAAAUUAUCCCAACACAUCAUUGCUAAUUAUGGAGCCAAAGGGAAACAAGGAAUUAAGGUGACUUUAUCCUAAAUCUGCUAGCAGGUAUCCUUGCAGUUACUAGGGUUUUUCCCCCCAUAUUUGAUGAGCAAGAGAGUCAUCAACAUUGGAAACAGAAAUAGCUUCCCAAGAAUAAUAAAACAAAAAUGCAAAGACGAAAGAAAAGCCCAAACAAAAAUGCCAUUCCGAGAGAUCAUGUGCUGUAAAUAUAAACAAACGUUGUGAUGGGCUUCCUUAAAAGGAAGGAAGAGAUGGGCAAAACAAUGGUCAUGUAGGUAGAAUAAUGGACACGAAAGUGCCCAUGAUCUUCAACUUUUGGUGUGAGUCACUAUUGUGGCUGCCUCUGUGUUCAGCCUGUGCCAGGUGCGGGGGGUUACAGAAGCAAAGAAAAUUUGUUCCAAAUCAGGAGGAGUUUUGCAUAGCUUCUCUGUAGUCCCUGUGUAUCUGAAUGCUUAAACACCUCAAAUCUUGUCCAUUUGAGUCUUUUCCAAUAUUUGCUUUCUAAAAGAUUUUUUCUUCUCAUAUAUUAACUUGAAAAUUGUUCUUUGACAAUUAGUUCUGAUAAAACCUAUUCUGUCUUAAUUUUAAGUGAUACUAGAAAGAAUGAUUACCUAAAAGUAGGAAUGCAUGGAAAAAUCCUGAAGGAAAUAAAGACUGGUGGGUUUUUUUUUUCCCUCCCAACUUACAAAGAAUCACCAUAUAACAAAUGUGGUUAGCAAAAACUCAAAUUAUAGGAUAAAGUUCAUAUCUGCCCCUCCAAGCUUAGUGUGAACCACUUUCUCCUUGGAGGGCCAAUGACCUCCUUUCGCUACCUCAAAGCUUUUGUGCACCCCGCCACCCCCAAGCUCUUCCUUGGGCUCUUGGCUAGGCCAGCUCUUUGUCAGUCUCCAAAACUGUGUUUGAAUCUCAUGUACAGAGAAAGUUUCUGAGUGCCCCCCAGUUAGGACAUCACUCUUCCCCAAGAAACACCCAAGUGAUUGUUUAGUUAUUAAGGAGAAGCUGAUGGCAGACCUUGCAGCCAAGGGUAGUCACUGUUUGGUUUAAGCCAAUCAGCACAUUCCAUUCUUCUUGGCCACAGUCAUUGGUUUAGGGAUGGGCACGUGACCUACAUAGUCCACUCAGGUGAUUCUCAGUGUUAUUGCUUAGAACACUGGGAUGUGAGUGUUCCAUGGGUGCCCCAUUCCAUCUCCCUUGCCUUCCCAUAGGCACCCUUAAGUGAGGUUAUGAGACCGACAAUUGUUAUGAUGGACCUUACUGCCAUGCUGGAAAGGAAGUUGGAAUAGACACUUGGAUAGAUAUUGGAGCCUGGGCAUUAAGUCAAUCCUGAGAUCCAUCCUAUUUCUGGAGUUAGGUGAAACCAUAUUUUUCCUCACUGUUUAGGCCAGCUUGACUUGGGAGUUUCUGUUAUUUGCUGCUAAAAACAUCCUAAUUUCCUCGGCAAGUGCCAUAAUGGAUACUCAAUAAAUAUUUGGUGAAUUAUCAGGAGACAGAAAUACAUCACAAACUUACUGGGAAAAAAGAGACAUGUGUCAGCUUUCCUCUAACACCAGGUUUCUCAACCUUGGCGCCGUUGACCUUUUAGGCCAGAUGAUUCUUUGUUGUGUAUGGGCUGUCCUAGAGUGUUCCGCAGUACCACAGGUCUUUACCCACUAGCCACCAGCAGUAGGAAAUUAAAUGUCCCUGAUUGAGAACCAUUGCUAUCAUAUCUAUAAGAUUUUCACUUAAGCUUACCUGGCACCAAGAUGCAUAGCUGUUUUUGAGAGAAAAUAGACUAACGUUUGAUUCUGAACCCGGAGGCUAAGUCAGACUAUGAAUAAGUCAGACAGUUCCAUCCAGUAGGCGAGGAGGGAUCGUGUGUCUCCCAUUUUGCUACAGGACAUGCCUUGCUGCUGUGAACCGGGGCCCUGCCCAUUCUGAGUGGUUGAUUUUGCCUGUGAUUGAGAAGUCUUUUUGUGAUUAUAAAUUAUUUCAGACAAAUGUAUGUGACUCCCCACUCUUCUUUGCCUUAGUUUCCUUACGUAUGACCUAAUAAUUAGAAUUCCUGCACUGUUACUGAACAUUAUUAAGCAAUUCUUAUAUCUAUGGUUACCUUAGCCAUUCUACUGUGGUAGAAAUAAGAGGUUUCAUAUUUGGAUAACUGGGAUCAUUGCUGCCCUGCAUAAUAUUCUAAUUUUUCAUCCUGAAAUCUAAAUUUGUAAGCCAGAAACAGAUCCUCUUUUUUUUUUCCUUUUCUUUGUUUCUUCAGCGCAUGUGAGAAAAAGGAAAGGAAGAAGAAUUGGUACCCUAUGUCUUCUCUUUUCUGAACUGUAAUGGGGUAAAUUCAAAGGCCUCGUAAAUAAAGAUGAGUCAUUUCCCUGCCA